AUCCAGACUCCUACGGGAGGCAGCAGUGGGGAAUAUUGCACAAUGGGGGAAACCCUGAUGCAGCGACGCCGCGUGAGCGAUGAAGUAUUUCGGUAUGUAAAGCUCUAUCAGCAGGGAAGAAGAUGACGGUACCUGACUAAGAAGCCCCGGCUAACUACGUGCCAGCAGCCGCGGUAAUACGUAGGGGGCAAGCGUUAUCCGGAUUUACUGGGUGUAAAGGGAGCGUAGACGGCGAUGCAAGCCAGAUGUGAAAGCCCGGGGCUCAACCCCGGGACUGCAUUUGGAACUGUGUGGCUGGAGUGUCGGAGAGGCAGGCGGAAUUCCUAGGGUAGCGGUGAAAUGCGUAGAUAUUAGGAGGAACACCAGUGGCGAAGGCGGCCUGCUGGACGAUGACUGACGUUGAGGCUCGAAAGCGUGGGGAGCAAACAGGAUUAGAUACCCCUGUA
rnacentral:rRNA from 1 species